CAUGCAGUAGGUGGCGGCAUGCACAUUCAAAUUGUGUCAACGCCUUUAUACCAUAGAAUAAGAGAUGUAGAACGCGGAAGUUACGUUCCUGAUAGUUUUCCUCUCGUUCCCUGUCAACAAUUGACGAUAAUUAAUCUUAGCUACUCUACAACUUUCAAAGAUCCACCUACCACAUGGGCCUACUAUGGCUGAACCCAAGUCCAUGGAGUCCCCGGGUUCUGGCUGUGGUGUUCCAUCACAGAGAAGCUCACAGCAGGGUCCAGAGAUGGUCUCAGUGAAGCUGGAGGACUGCAGUCAACCACUGGAAGUCAAUGAGAUUGUGAUCGGGGAAGAGAGAGAACUUAAAGUAGAACUUAAAGAAGGAGAAGAAAGAGAGAGGAGUGAAAGAGGAAGCUGAGAUACAAGUCAAAGAAGAAGAGGAGAACAGAGAAGUGUCUGCUCCAGAUCUAGACGAAGAGGAGCAAGAAGUAGAUAGUAUCACUGACCCAGAGAUGAACGUACUUUGGUGCAAAAAGUGCAAAUCAAUCCCUGAACAACAGCAAAGGACUACUGCAAUUACAAGCAGGACUACUCCAUCCAGAUGCAGGAGAGAUCUCCAACCCAGGUUCAGACAGUGAGCCCAGUUCCACAGCAUCAGGAAACAAUAAACACAGACAGAGGAACUCAAGACAGAAACAUCACCACUGCAUGGACUGCUUCACUAGUUUCUAUGAGCCAAAGGAGUUGAAGACACACUUGUAGGCCCCAACCCUGCUCAGACUGCAGAGACAGUUUUAUUUGUCCAAUUGACCUUAAAUCACCCCAACAGACUCUCAAAAGAAAGAAAACUUACCCCUGUGAUCAAUGGGGGAAUAGCAAACUAAAGAUGUACCAAGUAACUCAAAGGGA
ensembl:lncRNA